GAUGAACGCUGGCGGCGCGCCUAAUACAUGCAAGUCGAGCGAACGGACGAGAAGCUUGCUGCUCUGAUGUUAGCGGCGGACGGGUGAGUAACACGUGGAUAACCUACCUAUAAGACUGGGAUAACUUCGGGAAACCGUAGCUAAUACCGGAUAAUAUUUUGAACCGCAUGGUUCAAAAGUGAAAGACGGUCUUGCUGUCACUUAUAGAUGGAUCCGCGCUGCAUUAGCUAGUUGGUAAGGUAACGGCUUACCAAGGCAACGAUGCAUAGCCGACCUGGGAGGGUGAUCGGCCACACUGGAACUGAGACACGGUCCAGACUCCUACGGGAGGCAGCAGUAGGGAAUCUUCCGCAAUGGGCGAAAGCCUGAUGGAGCAACGCCGCGUGAGUGAUGAAGGUCUUCGGAUCGUAAAACUCUGUUAUUAGGGAAGAACAUAUGUGUAAGUAACUGUGCACAUCUUGACGGUACCUAAUCAGAAAGCCACGGCUAACUACGUG
rnacentral:rRNA from 1 species